rnacentral:rRNA from 1 species
UACGUAGGGGGCAAGCGUUGUCCGGAUUUAUUGGGCGUAAAGAGCGUGUAGGCGGCCAUACAGGUCCGUUGUGAAAACUGGAGGCUUAACCUCCAGACGUCGAUGGAAACCGUAUGGCUAGAGUCCGGAAGAGGAGAGUGGAAUUCCUGGUGUAGCGGUGAAAUGCGCAGAUAUCAGGAAGAACACCCGUGGCGAAGGCGGCUCUCUGGGACGGUACUGACGCUGAGACGCGAAAGCGUGGGGAUCAAACAGG